ACCUUUUGAUAUCCUCUAGUGCGUGUCGAGCGGUAGCCUUGGACUUGAUUACGUCGGAGCUAGCUAAUCCGACCUAUAAUGAUCUAAAAUCUGCCUAGCCGAAGGUCCUAACCUUUCUCAAGGAGCGCGAAUACCGCAUACGUCCUAGUUUCCGGACGUUAUCAUCUUCGAACCUCACGCUAUUAAAUGAUUACUCACCGGAUUACCUAGUUGGUGAGGUAAUGGCUCCCCGAGGCGACGAUCCGUAACUGUGCUGAAAGGAUGAUCAGUCACACUGAUCCUGACCCAGGAUCAACUAUUGUCGCUCAGGUUGCAUGGGGGAAUAUUGCACAAUGCGCUAAAUCCUGACCCUGAUCCAACUAUUAUGUCGUUCUUUUUG
rnacentral:rRNA from 1 species